GCGCCCGUAGCUCAGUUGGAUAGAGCACCAGGCUACGAACCUGGGGGUCGUGAGUUCAAAUCUUGCCGGGCGCG
rnacentral:tRNA from 1 species